AGUUUGAUCCUGGCUCAGGAUGAACGCUGGCGGUAUGCUUAACACAUGCAAGUCGAACGAUGUGGGGACGUAGCAAUGCUACGUCUGUGCAUAGUGGCGGACGGGUGAGUAACGCGUGAGAAUCUAGCUUCAGGUUCGGGACAACAUUGGGAAACCGAUGCUAAUACCGGAUGUGCCGAGAGGUGAAAGGCUAGCCGCCUGAAGAAGAGCUCGCGUCUGAUUAGCUAGUUGGUGGUGUAAGGGACUACCAAGGCGACGAUCAGUAGCUGGUCUGAGAGGAUGAUCAGCCACACUGGAACUGAGACACGGUCCAGACUUCUACGGGAGGCAGCAGGUGGGGAAUUUUCCGCAAUGGGCGAAAGCUGACGGAGCAAUACCGCGUGAGGGGGGAGGGCUCUUGGCUUGUAACCUCUUUUCUCAAGGAAGAGGUUCUUACGGUACUUGAGGAAUCAGCAUCGGCUAACUCCCUGCCAGCAGGCGCGGUAAUACGGAGGAUGGAAGC
rnacentral:rRNA from 1 species